rnacentral:rRNA from 1 species
CAGUCGCCACGGUAAUACGUAGGUGGCAAGCGUUGUCCGGAAUUAUUGGGCGUAAAGGGCUCGCAGGCGGUUUUUUAAGUCUGAUGUGAAAGCCCACGGCUCAACCGUGGAGGGUCAUUGGAAACUGGAAAACUUGAGUGCAGAAGAGGAAAGUGGAAUUCCAUGUGUAGCGGUGAAAUGCGCAGAGAUAUGGAGGAACACCAGUGGCGAAGGCGACUUUCUGGUCUGUAACUGACGCUGAUGUGCGAAAGCGUGGGGAUCAAACAGGAUUAGAUACCCGAGUAGUCCCUGUCUCUUAUAC